AUUGAACGCUAGCGGGAUGCUUUACACAUGCAAGUCGAACGGCAGCGCGGACUUCGGUCUGGCGUCGAGUGGCGAACGGGUGAGUAAUGUAUCGGAACGUGCCCAGUAGCGGGGGAUAACUACGCGAAAGCGUAGCUAAUACCGCAUACGCCCUACGGGGGAAAGCAGGGGAUCGUAAGACCUUGCGCUAUUGGAGCGUCCGAUAUCGGAUUAGCUAGUUGGUGAGGUAACGGCUCACCAAGGCGACGAUCCGUAGCUGGUUUGAGAGGACGACCAGCCACACUGGGACUGAGACACGGCCCAGACUCCUACGGGAGGCAGCAGUGGGGAAUUUUGGACAAUGGGGGCAACCCUGAUCCAGCCAUCCCGCGUGUGCGAUGAAGGCCUUCGGGUUGUAAAGCACUUUUGGCAGGAAAGAAACGUCGCGGGCUAAUACCCCGUGGAACUGACGGUACCUGCAGAAUAAGCACCGGCUAACUACGUG
rnacentral:rRNA from 1 species